GAAAUUGGGGUGUUCAGGGAUGGCUCUGAGGAGGACACCUGGGGAUGGGAAUGGGAGCAAGUCUUGCACUGCAUAUACUUUUGUGCCUUUUUUCCCUUUCAGUUCCCGGAGAACAGGAGCCCAGUGAUGGGACUGGACCCCUGCUGGACCAUCCCCACUCUCCAGCCUGGAGUUGGCCUGGAGACGUUUGAUGGAUGCACACUGCUACUGGCUACUUGGCUGCAGGCACUCUACUGGGCUAUCAUGCCGCACAGGGAUUCUACUGAGGCACUCUAGCAAAGGGCUGCCUCUCCACAGCUCCUGGACAAGCAGAGUCAGCAAAGGAGAAGCAUACCAACCAUAAAUUCACCGGCCCCUACUAUUUCCUCUCGAAGGCAGAUUGCCUCUUUUUUGCUUUGUUUUCUGAUGAUGUGACAUGAAGAUGUAAGUAUAAAAGAAAAAGAGGUACUAGAGCUAAAGUUGACUGGGGAGAAGGAGAAAGGUUCUAUUUUCCCUGGCCGCAGCCUGCAGUGCGUGGCUCCAUUGACAGAGCCAGGUUGCUGCAUCUCAGACCAACUUCUGUGCCUGUCACCCCCACCCUCCACCUGUAUUGGCGCCCCAUCCGUUUUCCUAAUUAUUGAGCCCUUACCCAGCCUCCUCCUUCUGUCUUCUUUCCUUACCCAGCCUCCUCCUUCUGUCUCCUUUCCUUACUAUAGCCUUAGAUGGCAAUGGCCAUCACUUUUCUGUCCUUGUCUUUCUUUGUCCUACUCUGAUUUCUUUGGUGCCGCUUAUUGCACAGGCACAUGGCCAAGAAACAGCUGCCAUCACUGAGGUCCGUUUCCCAGUCUGGAACUGUCAUUAGUCCACAGCUGAGACUGUUCAAGGGCCCAGAAUCCAUAUUCAAUCUGGAGUGUCCUGGUAGCGAUGAACCCGCUGGUUCCAGAGCCUGUCACUGCAGUGAGUGGACUCUCGGCUGUCUCACCAACUGCACACAAGCCCGAGAGGGCCUAGGCUGUCCUCCCUCCCCCCCCAAGGAGGCUGUGGGGAAUGAGGGCAGGAGGACAAAAAGCUAUGACAAUCAGACAAGCAGCAGCAGACGGGGAUGAGUAUGUGCCAGCGCAGACGCAGACCACAAAGGCACAAGCAGAGAUGGAAAGAUAGAGGACACAGGAAAAACAGCUUCAGGGAGAGACAAAGCAGAGAGCAAAACCCAAUAAAAGUGUAAAGAGCACUAAAGCCAGACAAGCCUGGGGAGAGACCGUGGAGUCAGGUCAACGAGGAGGGCAGGAGGCGCUGGAGUGGCGCUGGAGGCAAGAGCGUUGGAGCAACAUAAAUCUGUUGGGAAGGGUCACUCACCUUCCAAGCUGUUGUGCUUAUUGGCUACAGCAAGCAGAAUCUAUUUAAAACAGACCAGGCACUUUGCCUUAUUCUGUUUCCCUGCCCAGAAAAGGCUGGAGCCAAAGGCUGAGGGAACCAGUCCAGCAGCCACCACAGGUUGAGCGGGAAGAACCCACCCUAUCUCCAAUGACCUCUCCUUUCAUCUCGCUGCCACCCCUAAGCCACCAGGUCACACUCAACUGUUAGCAUACUGAACACAGCCUCCGAGCCUCCAAAACUUCCUUCAAGCUUGUCAGAAGGCAGACGCUGCUCAACUGUGAGGGCUGUUGUAAGGCCACACUCAGGAGGGCUGUUUGACAGCAGGCAUGUUUUAGAGGAGUGAGGGAUUGGGGUGGUCAUAUGGAGGAGAGGAUGCCAGGGAACUGAGAAGACACCAGCAGCGCCACUCCCUUCCCUAAACUGUGUGUGAGUGUCUUCAGAAGUGUCAACUUGAAGCUGACCCCUAACCACCUACCACAGGGGAAGUGCAAAGUUCAGGAGGUGGAAAUGGCCACAGAAAGUCAUACCUGCUUCCUUCCCUCCUGGGGGAGGUGGGAAGAGAACCCCCCCCCCUUCCUGGGCUCUAUGGCCAGGCUGGGAAUAUGGCUCAGUAAGGUUGUAUGAGAUUUAUGUGUGUAGACCUUA
rnacentral:lncRNA from 1 species